AACGGAACAAGUGUCAGAAAAUCAAACUCACCAUAGAGGGAUACAAUCCGAAGAUGGUGAGGGAAAGGACCGGGUACAGGACGCUCAACAGGACCCGCAUGCUGACGGGCUCCGGGCAGCCACUUUUCUCCAAGAUCCCAUGGGGCCCACACCACCUGGAGGACCUUGUGGACCCUGCAGCAGGACAUAAGAAAGAGAUAAAUCAUCGUCACCACAGGGAAGGACAAGUAAUGAUAUACAGGCUUCACAAUCUCCACUAGGACCCUGAGGACCUCUGGGACCAGGUGGACCAGGGGGGCCCUGCAGGAAAGAGUCCAACAUCGCCGUUCUCACCCUUUUCACCAGGAGGUCCUGGAAGCCCCUGUGGACAAACAAAAUGAAUAAAUGAUCAUGUUAUUAGAAAAGAAAACAA